AUUGAACGCUGGCGGCAUGCCUAACACAUGCAAGUCGAACGGCAGCACGACCUAGCUUGCUAGGUUGGUGGCGAGUGGCGCACGGGUGAGUAAUGCGUAGGAAUAUACCUUAAAGUGGGGGACAACCUGGGGAAACUCAGGCUAAUACCGCAUGAGCUCUAAGGAGGAAAGCUGGGGACCUUUCGGGGCCUGGCGCUUUAAGAAUAGCUUACGUCCGAGUAGUUAGUUGGUGGGGUAAAGGAUUACCAAGACGAUGAUCGGUAGCUGGUCUGAGAGGAUGAUCAGCCACACUGGGACUAAGACACGGCCCAGACUCCUACGGGAGGCAGCAGUGGGGAAUAUUGGACAGUGGGGGAAACCCUGAUCCAGCGAUGCCGCGUGUGUGAAGAAGGCCUGCGGGUUGUAAAGCACUUUCGGUGGGGAGGAGGACUUAUAGGUUAAGAGCUAAUGAGUUGGACGUUACCCACAUAAGAAGCACCGGCUAACUCCGUGCCAGCCGCCGCCGUAA
rnacentral:rRNA from 1 species